rnacentral:lncRNA from 1 species
UUUUUUUGUGUUGCCUAACCACAAACAGUUCAUCCGAGGUGUUGUAUAACGCACACACCUUCAUCUGGUUGCCCGUUUCUUUUGUUCCUCCUCAUCGCAAACAGUUAAUUGAACUGAACCGUAUGCCCUGCAUCGAACACGCAACUAAAAUCUAAACCAUGUUUGAUGCAUCCGUCAUUGCAAACGUUUUGCACCUUUUUGACGGGUUUUUUACACCACCGUUUGCGAUUAUGGCAUCGCACACAGUUUCGUCGAAGGGUCUCUGAUCGUAGUGCCGCGUUAGCAGCAUCCUGCAGUAGUGCUUGCCCACAUGGAAACAAUCCCUAGCAUGCUCCAAAUCCAUCACAACUAGCUACUACACCAUCACAGUCAAACAGAUCGGACGGCCUAACCUUAGAACAUGGACAGAUCUAGCUAUAACUAGAAGAGAGGAGGUGGUGAUUGAACUUACAGAGGCCAUUGGAACGACCGCGUAGGAGGUGCCUGGCACGUCAGAAAGGAGGAGGAGUCGACCCGCCGGCGUAGUCGACCGGUCGCCGGAGUAGAUGCGCCGCUUACCUCGUCGUUGAAGUGGAUCCACGCUGGAGGGAAAGCUCAAGGAGGGGGGAAUGGUGGCUGGAGUUUUGCCGCGGCGGUGACCCUCGAUAUAUAGGGCGACCAAAUCGGCGGGCGGUGACUCGAAUUCGUCCCGUCGCUUUUUGGAUAUGCACCAUCGCUCCCGCCAUCUCCCUCCCAUGCGCGGCGCGGCGCGGCGUUCCCCUCCCCUGCAUCACUCGAGCCUGGCUCGCUGGAAACAACCGAUUCGGUCAUUCCUAGCGGGCCAGGAUGAGGGGUGCUUUGAGGUUCAUGCUAUGCGGACCAAACAAUAAACACAGGCAUCCAAACAGCCAUUUUCAUCCUGUGAGGGCCCGGCUGGGCCUAAUGCAGGCUACCAGACGCGUCCUUAAUGGAUUGUAUGAAACAAUGAAAACUUAGAGAAUGGACAAAACCAAGUGUGUUUGUGCAACACACCUCAAUGAAGUAAAAUAGAAGUUCAUGGUGUGAUCACAACCCGAAAUAGAUGAACAGAUUGUUCAUUAGUACAUGCAACACUAUAAUAUACAUUUCUGCACCAGAGCUCAUCAGAUCUCAGUGAACAGUAAAAUGAAAAAAAAAUACUAGAAAAAUUCAAAAAAAUCUGAACUUUUUUUUGCAAGUAAGAUGUUUGAAUGCGUGAGGUCCGUGCCAAUUUUCAGCACGUUUGAACAUCUGAGUAGCUCUCGGCAAAAAAAGGAUCCAAACAGUGCACGAACAAUAAACUUUUCACAGACCCUGAUUUUAUUUUUUAUAAGAGCUACUCAGAUAUCAAAACACACUCAAAUUGACAAGAACAUCACGCAUUCAAACAACUUUCAUGCCAAAAAAAUUAAAAAAUGUAAAAUUUCUAGUAUUUUUCUAUUUUACUGUUCACGUCGCAGUCGCGCGCCGCCACACUCACUUGCACAAAGAAGGGCCUGGCAGCGAGCUCAAGACAUCAGAAGUGUAUCUUGGAGCGACGGAAGUAGAGCCCACAUCCGUCCACUGGCUUCGACGAAUCCGAGUCAUGGAAGGUGGCAGGGAGGAGGUACAGCGAGUCGGCGACGACUGGGUCGAGGAGACGAUGAGCGUCGAGCGGGGAAAGCAUGAGGUCAAGGAGAGGUGUGGGAGGCCGGUGGCGGCGGUGCCAUACUUGGGAUCUUACGGAUUUAAGGAAAAAGGCAAUGGUGGGUGAGUCGGGGCACUGUGGCUCGACAACCAGUGCACGGCGUUGGUCGAACGGUUUGGAUCUGGUGGCAGGUUGUAGGAUCGAAAGGAGUGUCUAGGAGGGGUGAAUAGACAACUAGCAUGAGUCAAUGGGCAAUCUUAAGUUCUUUAACAUUUAGGCGGAUUUUAGCACAAUCUAAAGUAGUACAAGCAUACUCUACACAAGCAUACCUAGAGCAUAGGCAACAGAAAGAAAAAUCGGUCAUGCCCGUGCAAGAAAGUAAGGAGUAGAAUUUGAGAGAAUCGCAAACAAUGGUUGACACAGAAGAUUUUUGACCCGCGGUCCCGAUAGGUCGUGAUAUCGUACGUCCACGGUUGAUGGAAGCUUCAAUCAUAAGGAUUACGUUUAUGGAUUCCAUAGAGGAAUCGAGUCCACAGAGGGCUCACACACACGAAGGAUCCAUGAAGAAGCAACAUUGCCUAUUCCAUCAUGGCAUACACCCAUGAAGGGUUGGCCUCACUAGGGUAGAUCUUCACGAAGUAGGCGAUUUUCUUGCCCUCACAAACUUCUUGGUUUCUCCACACGAUUUGGAGACUCCCAAGCAAACCUAGCCAAUCUAGGAGGCACCAUCCUCCAAAAGGUAAUAGAUGGUGUUGUUGAUGAUGAACUCCUUGCUCUUGUGCUUUAAAACAUAAUCUCCUUAACACUAAUACUCUCUCAUAGAUUUUGACUUUUGGAUAGGAGUGGUUUGGGUGGAAAGCAAUGAGGUGACUAGAAAUCAAAGGAUCAACGGUUCGAGUGGAUCCCUUUGAAAUCAACACAAGGAAUGGGAGCUCUCUCUCUCUCUCUGAAAUAUGGAUGUGUAAUGUGUUUACUUCGAGAGACAAUGGUCGAGUGGGUGGGGGCAUAUAUAGGCGGCACAAAAAACUGACUGUUACGCACCUUUUAGCACAUCUUGGUGAGACCGGCUGAAAACACACGGUCAGACCGAAUAGUAGAAAUGUUUGAACUUUAGAUACUUUGGUGACUCCAGAUGAAACUAUCCGGUGACACCAAGUUGUGCUCACCUAAGCACUUUACACACUUCGGUAAUUCUGACUGAAACCAUUCAGAAAUUCAGAACGAGUUGUAGUAGGCAACACAAGGUUAUAAGUGAUCUUCGGUGAGACCAAAGGGUCAACUUGGUGGGACCGAAAAGUUAGGGUUUUAGGCAACGACUAUAUCAUGAUGGCUCGGUGACUCUGAUUGGUUUGGUUCAGUGAGUCCGAGUUGAACUUUUAGUUUGUGAAAUAGUGGGAUCAUGUGAAAUGAUAUGAGGAUUUGGGAGUUUGAUCUUUAAUCACUUGAGCAAUGAACUCAUCAUCUCCUCAUAAGUUAGAGACCUUUCGGUCCAAAAAACUGCCCUAAGCCAAUGUACAACGCAAUGCACUUAGGAGAGGUGCUUAAAGAAAUAAAUUAUUCUUCAAGCACCGAUGCUUAUUUGUAGAAGGUACAAGCCUAAUUAGAGCAUCUCCAACGCCGACCCUUAACCGCCCGCAACCGCACGGUCCAAACGUGUUUUGCCAUCCAACGCGGUUCUAUAAUAUGUAUCAGUCCAGACAUGUUUUUCCUCAAAAACCGGAAACAAACCGGGGUACUUUGCGGGCGUCUGGACCGUUGCCACGCCCGCAUCCAACAACCAUUGCCCACCCAAACCCUCCCCUCGCCCGCGCACUUUCCCUCUCGAAGCCAGCUAUUCGCGUGCCGCUCUAGAACAACCGCUCCGCAUUGACGCCGGGACGUGACCUCUCACUGGCACCCGCACUAAAGCGGAUCACUUGCCGAGGGCACCACCCACGCCGCGUUCCCGGUGUCCGCACAUGUUCAAUGCCGGAGUGACGUUUACUGGACGGGAUGGGACGGAUAUCUACCGUGCCCGUUUAAUGCCUGUUUGUCCGUCUGCCACCAUUAGUAGGCUCACCGGCCGAGGAAUCAACUCCGACGCCCGCGCAUUUGGCGCACUGGGAUGCUUAGCCUCACCGAAGUGUGCUAUUUAAAGGCGACCACAACACAUCCACUCCACAUCUUCCUCCCGUGCACCACAUCUGCCACGACCGCGAACGGGAACGCUUUCUGGAAGAGCCUCUCGACCCAGCAAAAACACGAGGUGGCCGCCUCGCAGAGGCGUCGUGCCAGGCAGAUCGAGACCGGCAUGUCGGCCAGCUCCCUCGUGUCUUCAACGGCAACCCCAUGACGGAGAUGGGCUUUGGCGACGACUCGGCGCGGGAGCCCGCGCCGGUGCAUGCCGACUUACCAUGGAGCAAGCGAGGCGCACUUCACUGUGGCCAUGGCGGAGGAGGGCAAAUUUGACAAAUUUAACCUAUAGACGAAAUCAAAUCACAGAAUGAACUAUCCGUGAAACUAUUUCACGCGGCUGACCUUUUUGUGUGACGCCCGACACGAAGGCGCCACACUACACUGUGUAACGCCUAACAGAUAGGCGCUACACGGCCAGCGUCGCACCCGUGUGAUCAGAAAAUUACUAAGUCAGUGUGCAGCGCCUGAGAGCUAGGCGCCACACUAUACAGUGUAGCGCCUAGCUCCUAGGCGUUGCACUAGUGCAGCGCCUAGCUCCCAAGCGUUGCACUAGUGCAGCGCCUGAGAGCUAGGCGCCAUUGCACUAGUGCAGCGUCUGAGAGCUAGGCGCCACGGGUCAGCCGCGUGAAAUAGUUUUACGGACAGUUCAUUCUGUGAUUUGAUUUCGUCUAUAAGUUAAAUUUGUCAAAUUUGCCGCAGAGGAGCAGCCUGUGUUGGCACCUAUUCCGGUAUUCUGCAGGCUUACAACUUGUUCCUCUCCUCCUCGUGCAACCCCAGCUGGCGGAGGGCCAAACCUACAGCAAGUGUGCGAGCGAGGAGGUCGUAGCGGCCAUGGCCACGGCGAACCCCAACUUCUUAACGCAGAGCUGGCGUAGCCAGAUGCGGAUGUGGCGCUGGGAUAGAGGACAAGAAGACAAGAACACUGCGCGUCCUAUGUGCAGGCAGGAUCAUUCGAGGGCGCAUGUGGCAGGAGGGCAGGCAUUUUCAUGUUCAGCCGGAAGAGUUUAGACAAGACUCUAAUUAGGCCUUGAACAAUCAAAAAAUUGUUUUUUUGUUAAACACGGAUCACAGGAGAAACGAGGCACCCCUCAUGUAAUUGGUGCUUUUUAGAAAGAAAAAAACUAAUAUUCGUAUUUUCUUAAGCUUUGCUCAUUGACUCCCCGGUGAGGCGGUACGGAUGUUCCGUUAAGCAAGGUUCCCCUACCAUAUCUGCAGUCGAUUUUGUUGCCGUGAGCAAAUCCCACUGGAAGCACUCUUAAGCAUACGAAUUACUAGUUCAGGCGUCUCCAAGCGAACAGAAGACACAUGCAUGAAGAUUCUACCAAGCACAGAAGCGCCAUUUAUUACCAAAGCUCUCCACGAACCAUUUCUACUGUCACUUGAAGAUAAUUUAACUAGGUACACCACUGACGGAUUUGUUACAGUAUUUCUCGCAACGGGAUACAGAAUCAGGCAAAACCGGGGCCAACACAUCCAACGACCAACUCUCGUCCCCCCCUCGCAAAAUCUGGCGUUGGAAGCUGCCUUGCCAAAACAUGUUUCCCCCUCCUCUACCUGUCUGCUGCUAGACAGACCGAUGCUCAGAGCUCGUCCUUCAGAGGCUCGGUGGCAGCCGGUUCCGCCGCCUUCUCGGUGUCCGCCGCAGCCGCCUGCCCAGCAGUCUCCUUGUUCUUCUUGAUGUAGUCUACGAUCUCGUCGGCCGUCCUGCCGCCCUCGUACGAGACCUUCUUCCCGCUGGGAGUGACGAAGUACAGGGUGGGGUAACCCUGGACAUCGAACUCACUGGGCACGUCAUUCGCGGUCGCGUCCUGUGGACAAGGUUGAGAAACAGUGGUUAGGUAAGUUGUAUUCCGUUGCUGGAACUGGAACGACAGAGAGGGCAACAAAUAUUACCAUCUUCGCGAUCACAACGUCCUCUUCACUUUGAAGGGUGGCAGCUGCCUCGUCGAGGAUGGGUGCUAGCUUCUUGCAGUGUCCGCACCAGGGUGCAUAGAACUCGAUAAGAACUGCAAUAUAAGGUGGCAAAUCAAUGAGCCAUUGUUUCACUUACAAGGAAUCGCAGUCACUUGUUACAACUAGCUUAAUCCAGCGAGGAAAAAAAAAUUAACAAAGAUGAAUACCAUUUUUGCCAGAUUUGAAGACCACGUCGUGAACGUUGUCAGCCACAACUACCUUAACAGGCUCAUUGUUGGCCUCAGGAAUAGGCUCAGACUUCCUGAAUGGUGUCAAUUUGCCAUCCUACAAUAUGAAUGAACACUAAUGAAAUUGCUAAACAGAUUACCUGGGAUCAAACAAAUAAGGUUGGUAUUACUACAACCAAGGGAAAAAGGAAUGGCUACUUACAAAGUAAUCCUUCAACCAAGCAACAAUUUGGCCAGCCUCAACCUGUUCCUUCAAAAACUUCUUCGAGUCACUGUCUUGAAUGAGGAUCAGUGGUGCCUGAUCCUCUUUCAGCCCGAAGUACUAUGUUUCAAAGAAAAAUCUGUUAGCACCAAGGAAAAAACAACAGUAUCGAUAACUACUACCUUUGUAAAGAAAUAUAGAAAGGGAAACAGGCAAUCAACCUGGAAAGCGCCUUGGCUCGCUUCAAUGUCACCAAUAAGGAACUUCACAUCCUUGCCACUGAACUCCUCUACAGCACCAUAGUAGGCUGAUUUGAAGGACUCAAACGGUCCAGUGGAGAAGUUCAAAAAGAGCAUGGCCUACAUACCAUUUGAUGUCAGAGAACAGAAGUGCCAAAUAAUGAGUGACCAAUAACUAAAAAACAAUGAAAAGGCUAAUGCUCUAAGCAGCUUCACCACUAGAAACAUAUAUCUGAACUGUUUUUACAGACAAAGCACUGAAAACACCAAAGAUGAUAUUCUGCAUCUCAAACAAUCAUCACAUCUAUGGCUCUGCAGUAGUAGACCUUUCAGGUACAACAACCAUGAAUGAAAACACAAAGAUCCAAAAGGCUAACAAAACUAAAUACACUAGUAAUCCUCCAAAUGUGCUGAACAAAUUCUUUGCAAGAUGAUUUCUUCAAAGGACCGACAAAUGACUAGAAUAUACUAAUCAAUCAUUCAUGUAAACAUGUUCAAGAAAAAAUUGACAAAUUCAACCAUCAUUGGAUUGCAGAAGUUUUUUGUACACACCAAGAGUCAGGCUGAUAAUCAAUUGAAACAACAUACAGCGAUCAACAUUAUGGCCUAAUUAGUUACAAACUUGAGGCAUAGACCUAACUGACUAAGCAUAUAGUAGAAAUUAGGCAACUAUACAGAACUCAUACAAUUACAAAAAAUGAUAAAGCAUUCUAGAAGCAAGUUGUGUCAGUCAUUACCUUGGGAGCAUUGGUCUGGAAGAAUUUCAGGAGGUAAGGAUGGUUGUCAGGGUUCUUGUCAAAAGUAACAACUUUCGGGGUGCUGCUAGCAUCAAUGAAUUUCUCCAAAGCAGAAACAUCAAAAUCCUGCAAAAUGUCACAUCACUAUGUUAAUACUCAGUAAUCUGUAUGAAGUAAGAAGAACACAGAUGAACACUCCCUCUGUUCCAGAUUACUUGUCACUAAAUUGUACUAAAUAAGCAAUAACUAAUAUGAACAGAGGGAGUAAUGAUUAGUUUACAGAGCGAGCGAAGUAUAACCUUGCUGUCAACAACGAGCUCAUCAAAUGGCUUGAAUAGCCUAACCAAUGGCCUCUCCACUGCUGCAUCACCACGUGGGAGAUGGUUGGCAUGCACGGUGUGGCCAAAGUCAUAAUCAGACCUCAGCUUCUCAGCAACCUCAAGGAAGUUUGUAAACUCAGUGCCGCUGAAUUCAGUGAAAACACCAACCUAUACAAUUAUCAUCAUUACUUAGUCAGCAGGCAUAGAACAUCAACCAUGGCUAUAUGACGAUUGCUAUUUGAAAGUAAGAACAGACAAAAUAAGAAGCUUACAAUGUGGAUCUUGCCGUCUUCAAGGUAAGUGGCAUCUUCAGGUGCCUUGAUCUCCUUGGAAGCAGGGCCAACCUGCUUCUUCAAGUACUCGACAAUUCCCUCAGCCUCCCUGGGGCCCUUGUAUUCCUGGAUGUUCUUUCCCCCGUUCCUGAAGAUCUUGAGGGUAGGGAAGCCCUGGACCUCGUACUUGCCCGCAAGCGGCUUGUUCUUCUCAUCGUUGGCAUCAACCUUAGCAAGGACAAUCGCUGGGUCGUGCUUGCUCAACAGUUGGGCCGCCUUCUCAUACUGCAACAUCACACAUCAACGAAUGAGAUCAAUCCAUUCAGCAUAUAACACCAGUGCUAAGUAAGUGGUCCAAGGAUGUAGAAGAAUUACCUCAGGUGCCAGGCUCUUGCAGUGUCCACACCUGAAACAAAAUUCAGACCAGACUAAGUGAGAUUGUACUGAAAUAAGUCGAACAGACAGAAUCUGCAAUACAUAGGUACAGUAUAAAGUUGGACGCAGUGGAAUCCCAACAGGGACCCCAGCCCAACAACCUCUAAACCCUCGAGGAACUUGAAAUCCAACCAAAACUUCAGAGGAAUCGGCGAUCCAGACGCACCGAUCAGCAAAGCCAGAUCCCCCGUCGUCCGCAACUGACGCAUCUGAGACAUCUCUAAACUGACCACGAUCUAAACCGCUCGGAUCCGCCGGAACAACACCCACACACACGCACAGACACCAGAGGCGAGGGCUCACCAUGGGGCGUAGAACUCGACGAGGAUGAAGGGGUGCUUGGCGAUGGCGUCGUCGAAGUUGUCGGCGUGCAGGGUGAGCACGGCCUCGGGGGCCGCAGCCUCCUCCGCGGCGGCGGCGGCCUCCUCCGCCCUGGCCGCCGGGGCGGACAGGACGACGGCGAGCGCGAGCAGCAGCGAGAUCCAGGCCUUGCAGAUCGCCAUGGCGGAAGGGACUGGGGAGCAGUGAUGAGAUUUCUCGGGGCGGACACGACCACGCCGCGGUGCUCCACGGGUUUUAAUAGGAGCGGAGAGGCCGAGAGGUGGGGUUUAGAGUCUCCAACGUGGACGCGGUCCACGGUGGACUGGACCGUGUCCACGGGUCCCACGACGGCCAGGGCUCCGUGGGCGCGGCCCACAGAGAUCACGGGAUGAUUACUGGGAUGUUUUGCACUCAGGUCCCUGUUGCUAUCCGAAUCCCAAUUUGAGGUGUUAAGGCCGCUUAAAGUUAGGCUAGUAAAUUACAAUGAGGUCCCUACCGAGGGUGUUGAUCCAAUUAACUGGAAUAUGCCGCGUGACUCAAAAGGGAGGGGUUAGCGGAUCCGGGACGCCACGUCACGCUCGUGCGCCGCCACUGUACGGUACACGUGGGCUGCAAACACGUACCCUUAUGGGGUCAGGCGAAUCGCAGGGCGCCACGUCAUGUGAGUGACACGUCUACUGCCUCCUGAUUAGCCGAGGCUACUCAGCCGACGCGCACCGGGCACUGUUGCCGAAUCAGGACUAGGAAGAUAUGGCGGAAAUAUUUAUGUUUGGAAGAUUAUUAAUUCCAUCCGUAGCCGAGGAGAUCAUUCAUUCAUUCGCUGCGUAUAAAUGUAUGAAGAAAUUAACCCGUUCCAAAUUUGGAGUAUCUUUGGUGAUUAAUGAUUUGCAUGGAACACAAUAAUAAUUCUGCGUAAUUUUGAUUCGUUUCACACUGUAGCGUGACGAGCCACACAUUACCCAUCUCACGUCGCCGAAAAAUGCAUGAAAAAUAUUUUUUUAGAAACACAGUACAAAUGCACACGUUCACAGACACGUAUAUGCAUAAUUAUUACUGUAAUAUUUGUGUUCGAGGUGUUUUGCAUUUCUGAUGAGUCCUUUUAGCAGACUGGACAUAUGCGGCAUUUUCUGUUUCGCUAAAAAAUGGAUUAGUGGACGGUGCAAAAUAAUCGUCGCAGCAAAACUGACGGCGACGCAUUUGCGAACAACCUGCUUCGUCCAAAUGCGGUGUGAAUGAAAAAGAUCAUCUAACCGCAGUGCGUGAUAAUUCCGAAAAUGGUUGAAAAGUGCAACACAAGGCCCAAAUCUUACGUGCAAGGAAACACUAAUCUUGGUGUUAUGCGCAACUGAAUCAAGGGGCAAAAGCGUUUGCACUGCCUGUAAUCCACCACCAAGCUGGAAAAAGCUUGUAUGUAUUGUAGUUGAGCACGGGAGAUAAGCCUCAUCUCAAGCUGGAAAGCUUGGAAGAAAACAACAAGAUCUGGCCUGUGAAUCUUGUUGUGUUGCACACGUGCCUUUUGUACUGUUAUUACAGGCGUGACAAUGACAUGUGUGUCGUCUCACACUCUCUUGCGUGGAAGAGGCCAAUCUUGAACUGAAACGAGACAGAGGCAUCGCCUGUCGAUCGUCCAUUUUUCUUUUGGUGAGGCUACGUGCUGUCUGUGGUGCAAGCGAGUGGACGGGUCUCCAACGGCCCGGGCGCCUCCAUCUACGAUCCAUGCAAAACGAGUUUACAUGCAGAUGAACGAAAAAGCAUGCCAUGCGUUCCAUGGCGCUUCCUGGAACCAACCGAGGCGGCGUGCGCCGACUCACACGGCGAGCGUGCGCGCGGACGAUCUGGAUUCGGCGAGGAACUCACGCGGGUGUUCGUCUCCAACUACUGCGCUACGCUGCGCAGGUCUAGAUCAUCACGCUCUUUUGUCGCAUGCCUCUUGCUUGUGCUGAGUAGACGAGGGUAAAAAAAUGUAUAUAUAGACACAUUUUACUAUGUUUGAUGCUCAGAAGGAUGGCCUAUCGAAAGACUUGCUAGAUAGUGAGGAGGCAAUUGAUGAGCUUGAUAAGGCUAAUUUAGCUAAUCAGGAUAAGAACAAACAGAAGGGCCCAGUCUGGCAUGUUUUGCUCUGAUUCUGAUCAUGAAAACUUUGUCUUGGAGUGUGCUGUUGCUAAUAAGGAAGAGCAACAUGUAGAAGAGAAAGGAAUUGAAUCUGAAGAUGUGUAUCCUUCUGGAUUUCUAAGCUCCACUCCAACAAAACCCCUUGUGGGGAAUGCUGAGGGGACAUCCAGUUCUGGUGGUAAACUUGAAAGUAUGGAGUAUUGCGAGAGUAUUCUUAGAUCUGUAGACUUUUGUGAGUCUGAUGAAGAAGAAUUCAAGGGUGAUGAACUAAAGACUCUUCCCCCUGAAGCUGUCCAGGCCAUACAAAAUAUCUCUUUGAAGAUAUCACUGCUGGAAACCCUUGAUCAUGCUCAAGAUCAAGGGCUGGCCACUGGGAAAAACAAAUGGGGGCAUGUUCUGGUUCAGAAACCUGCUACUAGGGGACAUGGCAAUGUGAAUAUCAUGGAGAAAGCUGCGGCUUACAAGAGGAAGCAGAAUCUCGAAAUUCCUAAAACCUUCAAAGGUAAAUCCUUCACUAACACUGAUCAUAACACUUUGUUUGACCAAAUGAGUAAAAUUGACUUAUGCAUUGGGGGUGAUGAUGCUAAUAAACAUGAAACUACUGAUGAUUUGAUUGAUGGGGAAAAAGAGAGAUGCUUGGCUUUUGCCAAUAAUAACCCUGAAAUUGUUCUUCCAGAUAAUCUUGAAUUAAACCAUGAUGAUUUGUUUGGGACUCCUUUGGAUGGCUGCUCUCUCAAGCCAGUGGGCACUGCUGAUGCCUUAAGGAGAACUCCAAAUGUCUUAACAAAAGUUAGGCCUUGUGGUCUGUCUCACCCUUUCAAAGUUUCUUAAAUGAUAGGGCUUAUUUGGAAUAUUAGAGGUCUUGGUCAAUCUGGGAAAGUUCAGUGCCUUUGUGAUACUAUUGCUCGAUCUAAUCCUGAUUUUAUUGGGUUUCAAGAGACUAAGAGAGAAAUUAUUUCUGAGGGUUUCCUCAAAGCUAUUGAUAGGACUAAUAAUUUUGACUGGCAUUAUUUACCUGUUGUUAAUACUGCUGGUGGGAUCCUUUUGGGUCUUAGAAAAAGUUUAUUUGAAACCAUUGGUUUUGUUAAUCAUGAGUUUUCUAUUAAAGCCACUGUUAAAAACAAUGAGGAUGGUUUUGUUUGGCACUUGGUGAUAGUAUAUGGCUCUGUGUCCCCAGAGUUUAAAAUGGAUUUUGUUGCUGAACUUCAUGAUAUCUUAGACUCUGCAUCCUAUCCUAUUUUAAUUUGUGGUGACUUCAACCUGGUUAGGAAUGAGAGUGAGAAGAGUAGUGGAUUAGUUAACCAUCAUACCACCUUCCUUUUUAAUGAUUGGAUUAAUAGAUGGGGACUGCUGGAGAUUUCUAUCUCUAAUAGGGGCUAUACUUGGUCCAAUAAUCAAGAUAACCCUAUUUUUCUGUGUUGGACAGAGUUUUUGCCUCUGUGGACUGGGAUUCUCACUUCUCGAUGUCGUCCCUAACUGCUCUCCCUAGAGUGGGGAGUGACCAUACUCCCUUAGUGCUAGACACUGGAGGGAGGAAAUCAUCCAGUCCUAAGAUGUUCCGUUUUGAGAAAUGGUGGCUGUCAUAACCUGGCUUCCACCAGAUGGUGCGUGAGACUUGGUCGGCUACUUCUUCCUCUAUCUCUUCUGUAGAUAACUGGUUAUCUAAAACCAGACUGCUUAGGAAGAAGACAAAAGGCCGGGCCAUUAAUAUUGAGGCUGCUUUAAGGAAAAAGAAAAAAUCCCUCCUUAUGGAGUUUGACCUGCUUGACGUUCUAUCUGAAUCCCAGCAGUUGUCUGCUGCUGAUCAUGAUAGAAUGAAAGCUGUGAAAACAGAAUUGGAAGAGAUUUGGAAAAAAGAGGAAACGGCCUUGUGGCAAAAAUCUAGAGACAGAAAAAUUCUUGAAGGGGACCGUAACAAUGCCUAUUUUCAAGCCCUAGCUAAUCACAGGCAUAGGAAAAACCAUCUUUCUGAACUAGUGGGCCCUUCUGGACCUGUGACUUCCACUGAAAACAUGAUGGGAGUAGCUACUGAAUUCUACAAAAAUUUAUUUGCCUAUGAACCUAAACCAGAUUUGCACUUAGGAACUGGUUUUUGGUCUGAGAUAGAAAUGAUUAGUGAGGAUGAGCAGAGAGACUUAGAGAGAUCCUUUUCUGAGGAAGAGAUCAAAGAAGCAAUUAUGAGCUCGUAUGCCAGUGGGGCUCCUGGUCCUGAUGGGCUGUAUUUCCUUUUUUAUCAAAAAAUUUGGGAUCUAAUUAAAAAUGACUUUAUAUGGAUGGUCAGGGAUUUUGAAAAUGGGGAUUUGGACAUCUAUAAGCUUAAUUAUGCCAUCAUCACCCUUAUCCCUAAAAUUCCCCAGGCUAGAGAGAUGAAAAACUUCAGACCUAUUAGUCUUAGUAACUGUGCUGUAAAAAAAAUUCUCCAAGGCCAUGAAUACUAGGGUUUCCCCUAGCUGUGAUAAAAUCAUUUCACACAACCACACUGCUUUUAUUAAAGGGAGGUUUAUCUUAGAGAGUGUGGUGAUGGCCCAUGAAGUUAUUCAUGAGGUUCACAGAACUAAUUCCAGUGGUUUGAUUCUUAAACUUGAUUAUGAGAAAGCCUAUGAUAGAGUCAGUUGGGAUUUUCUGGAGGAAAUGCUUCUUUCUAGAGGCUUUGGGGUUAAAUGGGUUGCCUGGGUUCUCAGCACCUUGAAACAUGGGACUUUCUAGGUUAGAAUUAAUGACACUAAUGGGCCACACUUUGUGGGGAAAUAGGGCUGAAACAAGGUGACCCCCACUCCCCUCUUUUAUUUAACUUAGUGGCUGAUGUCUUUUCUAAGAUGCUGGUGAAAGCUGUCAAUAAUGGGUUAAUUGGUGGGCUCCUCCCACAUGCCAUCCCUGGUGGGGUGGUUAGUUUGCAAUACGCUAAUGAUACCAUUUUGUUUAUCCAGGAUUCUGUGGAAUAUGCCAAGAAUUUGAAAUGGAUUCUGACCUGUUUUGAAAAGCUUUCUGGCUUAAAAAUUAAUUUUCAUAAGAGUGAUUUACAUACCAUUCAUGUUUCUG